AGAUCAUAUUAAUUAAAAGCAGAUAAGAACCUGCCACGUUAUGAAAGGGUAUCUACCUCCUUAGGCAAUUUAUUUUCUAUGCACUUUGACCGCAACAACUAUUUUACGACAUGACCUUAUUUGCUACGCGGUGGACAUGACGAAUCUUCUCAAGUG